UACGUAGGGGGGCAAGCGUUGUCCGGAUUUAUUGGGCGUAAAGAGCGUGUAGGCGGCCAUGUAGGUCCGUUGUGAAAACUCGAGGCUCAACCUCGAGACGCCGAUGGAAACCAUGUGGCUAGAGUCCGGAAGAGGAGAGUGGAAUUCCUGGUGUAGCGGUGAAAUGCGCAGAUAUCAGGAAGAACACCCGUGGCUAAGGCGGCUCUCUAGUACGGUACUGACGCUGAGACGCGAAAGCGUGGGGGAGCAAACAGG
rnacentral:rRNA from 1 species